AAGUGUAGAUCUAUGCUUUCCUUUAUGUUUUAAAGAAGUUUUAAGCAAGUUUGAAGAUGUUUUGAUGGUUGAGUAUGGGUAGAUAUGCAUGUUAGGGUUUAUGUGGGUUUUAUGCCCAAUGUAUGUUUAUGUGAUGUGUUUGAGCUAGUUUAUGCAUGUGGGAGAGUGUAUGCAUGUUUGGGAAAGAGCAAGUGAGAUUGUGGGAUGUUUUGGUGGUUGUGGCCUAUGUGGGUCAUAAGCUA
rnacentral:lncRNA from 1 species